CGGAGGAUCCAAGCGUUAUCCGGAAUCAUUGGGUUUAAAGGGUCCGUAGGCGGUUUGAUAAGUCAGUGGUGAAAGCCCAUCGCUCAACGAUGGAACGGCCAUUGAUACUGUCAGACUUGAAUUACUGGGAAGUAACUAGAAUAUGUAGUGUAGCGGUGAAAUGCUUAGAUAUUACAUGGAAUACCAAUUGCGAAGGCAGGUUACUACCAGUGGAUUGACGCUGAUGGACGAAAGCGUGGGGAGCAAACAGGAUUAGAUACCCUGGUAGUCCACGCCGUAAACGAUGAGUGCUAGCUGUGGCGGGAGUUGACCCCUGCCGUGGCGACGCUAACGCAAUAAGCACUCCGCCUGGGGAGUACGGCCGCAAGGUUA
rnacentral:rRNA from 1 species